rnacentral:lncRNA from 1 species
GCGUAUAUACUGAAAAUUCAUGUAAUAAAGAACUAGGUGUGCAUUGUGUAACAUCAAGAGUUUUGUGGUGGCGCUGUAUUGACAAGAAGUACUCCUAUACCUUCCAUAACUUUUGUAAAAGAGAAUUAGGUGUGUUUUGUGUAGCACUAAUGGGUGGUUGUAAGAUGUCGUAUUGAUAAAACGAGUGUGUAUUAGGUAUUUGUGUAGUUAGAU